rnacentral:rRNA from 1 species
AUUGAACGCUGGCGGCAUGCCUUACACAUGCAAGUCGAACGGCAGCGGACCUUCGGGUGCCGGCGAGUGGCGAACGGGUGAGUAAUAUAUCGGAACGUACCUUUCAGUGGGGGAUAACGUAGCGAAAGUUACGCUAAUACCGCAUAUUCUGUGAGCAGGAAAGCAGGGGAUCGCAAGACCUUGCGCUGAUUGAGCGGCCGAUAUCAGAUUAGCUAGUUGGUGAGGUAAAGGCUCACCAAGGCGACGAUCUGUAGCGGGUCUGAGAGGAUGAUCCGCCACACUGGAACUGAGACACGGUCCAGACUCCUACGGGAGGCAGCAGUGGGGAAUAUUGCGCAAUGGGCGAAAGCCUGACGCAGCGACGCCGCGUGGGCGAAGAAGGCCUCGGUUGUAAGACC